rnacentral:rRNA from 1 species
UACGGGGGGAGCGAGCGUUGUUCGGAAUCACUGGGCGUAAAGGGCGCGUAGGCGGCUGGAUAAGUCAGAGGUGAAAUCCCAGGGCUUAACCUUGGAAUUGCCUUUGAUACUGUCCGACUAGAGGGCGGAAGAGGAUAGUGGAAUUCCUGGUGUAGCGGUGAAAUGCGUAGAUAUCAGGAAGAACACCGGUGGCGAAGGCGGCUAUCUGGUCCGUUACUGACGCUGAGGCGCGAAAGCCAGGGGAGCAAACGGG